UAAAAUAUAAUUAAAACAGAAGAAGGUGGGGGGCUAGAUGUAAUUAUAGCUGUUAAGAAUAUAACUAUAGGCCUACAGUCAGAGGGCAUGGGUUUUGGAUUUUUCUGUGGAGUCUAAUGAGAAGAAGGGGAGUUGUCUGUUGAAUAGGGGACCUGCCCCAAAAUCGCCUCAUAAGGAGUAGGGAGAUGUCCAGAACUGACAAGGGAAAAGAGGAUCCAGAUAAAUCAUGCAGUGGCCUUUUCAUGUGACAGACUCAGAGGGAAUGAGGGAAUCACAACUCUCAUUCCACAUUCCCUUUCUAUUCUCUAUUCCUCUUCUAUUCCCAUCUUUGCAACCCUAUUUUAUUCAUAAUUUCCUUCCCUCAUGCAGAUCUGAAGUUUCCCCUUAUUUUAUUUCUUCCUAGGGAACGAUGGAAGGAAAGUUCAAAAGUGCCCACUUGGAUCAGAUGUGGCCCUUUUGUUGAAGGCGAGUCCCUGGUAUAAUCCUGAAAUCACUGUUUUACCCUUUCCUUGUUUUCCCUUCUUUGAUCCUGGUCCAGUUUAAUUAACCUAAAUCCAAUUUAAGCUAGUUUUGAAUUUGAGCUUUUGGCCUAGAUCCAACCUAAUUGUUUGGCCAAGUUGAGUCUCCUUUAAGGAUGUGACUAGGUCGGAGUCAAAGUGGUUAGAUUUGGUAUUUUGAGCUGGCUCUUGUUGGGUUAUUUGAAUGCAAUCGAGUUGUUUAUGAUAUAGAUAAUGUUUUACAUAAAAAAAAAACGAUAUAGUAAAUAAUGUUAUGAUCAACACCCAACUUGACCAAAGUCUAGGUCUCAAACUGAGCUACUCUAAUAGUUUUGGUCCACCUCUAUUGCAUGAAUUAUACAUAUAUAACAAUCAUUAUAUACAUGUUACAAAUAUUAUAACAAUGCUAUACGAUGGUUGCAACAAUUAUCAUCUAUCAUUGUCGUAUCAAUUUCCAUUUUGCAUGUGCCAUAUAGUAUGGUUUAGUUUUUUAAAAAAAGAAAUGAUAUCGUUGAAUCCAAGAGUAUGUACAAUAAUUUCACAUUUGUAUAAUAAAUUGCUAUUUGUGACUUGUGGCAUGUAACAAUAGUAUCAAAUCAAUGUUUUGAUUAAAAACUAGGUCCCUAUAAUCUUUUGCUUGACAAUGAAAACAACUAAUCCUAGAUUGGGACGUUGAGCAUAUGACCACCGUAAAGAAGAUACUUCUUUUGCCCAAUCUAAGAAGGAAAAAAACAAGGAGCUAGAAGAGUCUUAAUAGUUGAUAUAUAGCAAGACAAAUGGGCAUUUUGAUGAGGUUGUUGAGACUACGUAGGGCCAUCAAGUUGUAGGGAAAGAAAAGGAUUAACUAGUGCACGUAUACCGAAGGAAAGGAGGGUGGUGGCCAAGAACUGAAGCGAGGACUGAAAGGCAGAACCCUAGAAGUCCGUGGGAGGUGCACGUGCAAGGAUCCCGCAACGGCACUCCUCCGCGCCCUGAGUUCGAGGGCGCCUCGAAUCUCUUAAACUAAUGGGCCUUUAUUACCAAACGGAUUCUUACGCUAUCUCCUCUCACCUCCAUCACCCGGUCAAACAGGGAGAUGGGUACGUUCAUCAGAGGAGAGAGAUGAUCAUGAGUGCUGGUUUAGAUAACAGGAGGUAUCCUUCCCUCUCCACAGAAGACCGUUCUGGUCUUUUCAAAUAUGUCCUUCUGGCGAUGAAGUAAGCUAGCUCGACUCCUAUUUUGUUGUCAUGUUAGGAGUCCAUUAGCUGUGACCCACCAUCCAUGCAUGCGAACUAAGAACCGCCACUGCGUCUUUUUUUAUGGAUCAAAUGAUAGGAAUCAAUUUAAGUGCAUGUAAAUGAGGAUUUUGUACAUANNNNNNNNNNNNNNNNNNNNUUGUUGUCAUGUUAGGAGUCCAUUAGCUGUGACCCACCAUCCAUGCAUGCGAACUAAGAACCGCCACUGCGUCUUUUUUUAUGGAUCAAAUGAUAGGAAUCAAUUUAAGUGCAUGUAAAUGAGGAUUUUGUACAUAUCUUUUGAAGACAAAUUUAACAAUGUAUUCUUAUGAGUAAUGGGAUUGAUGACUUCUGUUUUUGUGGAAAAAUUGUAACAUUGAGUGUGUGAGCUGUACCGAUAACUAUGACAACAUAGUCUAUUGCAAGAAACGCAAGCUAGCAGCUAAGGAGUGGGGCGACCACCUUAUUAUAAUGAGACAUAGGUUCCAUCACAAACAACUCUCAACUAAUCUAGAUAAAGAUCAUCGGAUAGAUGAUCAUAAUGUCUAAAUUCAUAAAGGUGCUACCCACAAACUUAAGGUUAAGUGAAUCUACCCCUUGUCGCUCAUUACCUUAAUUAACCAACGCAUUUCUUCUGUUUGUGCUUUUUAUAUUACCAAUCUUACCUUCAGUACACAAGCAAUCUUUUAUGAAGGAAACACUGGACUUGGUUCGGCAGCUCGUAUAAUUUUGAAGCAUUGUAGCUGUAAUACAGUCCAUGAAACCAUUUUAAUGCCAAUUCUAUCAUUACCUCAUGUUAGUUUACAGAAUGGCUAAAUUGAUCAUUUGCUGAAGUUGGCAUGGGCACCAAGGACCCGAUGAGAAGGUGCCCAAGGGUAGGCAUCGGACCUCUCGAGGGUAUGAGAUUUUUAAUUUGCAGCCUCGGAGUGUGAGAGGGAGAGUACUUAGAGAAGACUGGGGAUAAGGAAGUCUGCCCUUCUUCUUCGCCUACAUUUCUGUGCUCUGUCCCUUCCAUCCCUUGGGAGAUGUGGCGGGGACUGACUUCCUCCUCCCCUCCCUUUUUCUAAAUUUCCUGCAUGUCCUCUCACAUUUACCCACGUUAUUUUCUGCAUGCACUAAGUUACCACAUGCAUGUAUUGCUUAAGGACAAUAUAUUUUUUUUGGUCUUUUUAACCGUAGGUGGUUGCAUGACAUCAAGUGACUAAUCUCUGCUUCCUUAUCUGGUAUCCACCAUAGUACCAUGUGUGACCGCUUUUCACCACCAAUAACACCUCUUACUCUUAUUAUCUGUCUAGUGUUUGACAAUAUCAUUAGGACAGGACCAUUACUCUUCUCAUGGCUAUGAGUUAAAGACUAGGGUUUGGGGUUAACUUGAAUGGUUCUAAGAGGGCCUUGUUAAUUGGUUGUUGUUUAUGUAGUGUUCGUAUUCUCUGUCCAUACGGGUACACACUCCUUUCCUUCAAACAAAGGUUCUUCCGGCAGUUACCUAGAAUUCCCGAGAGUGCUACGUUCUUUUCACUCAAAUGUGCUCUGGUGAACAAUUUGUAGCUGCAUGCGUUAAUCAUUGUAAACUUGAAUGCUAUAAGACAAAUCAAGAUCGCAUGAGUUUUUUUUUUUAUGGUUCAAUCUUAUGUUGCAUUGAAGCUUGAAGUGCAUUGCUAACACAGAGCUCAUAUUAGACCAUGUUAAGGAUUAUAUCCUAAAAGUUUCAUCCAAAGUUCAAGCCAGGCCACAGAAUAGCUGAGAUAUAACACAUGUAUGGCUGAUACUUUAAUUUGUCUUGUUAGUAAAGUUAAGGAUGGACUAAAACAAGCAAUAGCGUCAGCUUCUUAUGUGCUAAGUUUGCAAAGUUUUUAAACCAAUUGCAAGUGGCAUGUGAUAAUUUAUGAGCACAGGGAUUUAAUCUGAUUAUUUUAAACUCCCUUCAGACAUGGUUUCACACUGUUCAGUACUCAUGUCCAGGUGUUGAAGUUGCAGGCAUUUGUAAGUUAGGGUUUGUGUGUCACCCUGAAUGUUUAUCAUAUAUUGGGCAUUCUAACAGCUGAUGCUUAUGGCUAUUCCUUAGGUUGUAGUUGAAGCCAAUGCGUUGUCUCAUAGCUGUGCAUUCCCUUUUCCAUGAAUUCGCAUCGAGGUCUGUGCUCGAUUCCUUUAUAACAACGGUUCCUUUGAUCCUUUCUGAGAACUUCCAACUGUGCCGUGUUUUUUUAUCAUGCCCAAAAUGUACUCCCCGAUUGGAAAAUGGUAUCUGAACAAUGCAUCAUUGUGAAUUUGAAUGCCUUAAGAAUAAAUAAACAGUGUGCCUGUUGUUCUUUCUUAAGCUACACUUAAGCAUUUAGAUAUUAUAUGAUAAUAUAGGCUCUAUGUGGACUAAAAUGAGCAAGCUAAGCUAAAUAUAAGCAUGCGGAUAGAUAGCAUUCCUAAGGUUUCAACUUAGAACUUUCUUAUGCUAGGGCACAUAAUUGACUGAUUCAAUAUUAUGUCUUGUUUGUGAAGCUAAGGAUCAAAUAAAACACACUGAAUUAAUGAAAAUGAUCAAGAAAAACCAGUAAUAACAUAACCAUCUCAUGUAUGUAUUGACAUUCUAAAUCCAGAUGCAGUAGGAAACAUUAUAAUCUAUGAACCCAGAAUUAGGUCAGAUUAUUAUUAAAAUU
rnacentral:lncRNA from 1 species